UCUGCCUCGUUCUCCACCGCUGUUUCUUCAUCUUUCUUGCUCGACACCAACGCAGGCAACCGUGAGUUCUUCCUCGUUUCAAUGUCGCUGAAUCUUUCUCCUCCUCCCCUGUUUGCGUUGUGCUGUACUGCGGUUGGACAUAAAAGAAAAAAAACAGGGGAGUGGGUUUUUGAUUGGCUGAAUAGUUGGGUGGUAGAGAGCUUCUACUAAGAGGCUAGUCUUGUGCGAAGGCCAACACACGUGGAAUGGAGGGAUAAUUUUUUGUGAGCAUUAGACUCACGCUUGUUAUUCAUGGGCUUUGUGCCUGCACUUGUUUCGUAGCUCCUGCCGUGCUUGUAUCAUGACUUUUA